AUUCAAAGAGUGCGUAACAGCUCACUGGUCGAGUGGACAUGCGCCGACAAUACACGGGGCUAAGCUGGACACCGAAGCGGCGGGAUUUUAAUUCAUUAGAAUCGGUAGGGGAGCUUCCCAUGGGCGGAGAAGCCGGAGGGCGACCGACGGUGGAGCGCAUGGGAGUGAGAAUGCUGGCAUGAGUAGCGAGAGACGAGAGAGUAACUCGUCCGCCGUGAACCCGAGGUUUCCUGGGCAAGGCUAAUCCUCCCAGGGUCAGUCGGGGGCUAAGGCGAGGCCGGGAGGCGUAGCCGACGCGCAGCAGGCAGACAUUCCUGCACCGCGCACGCGGCGCUACGACCGACGGGGCGACGGAUGGGGGUGGCUCGGCGGGGUUCUGGACGUCCCCGUGAUGGAGCGCGGCCCGCGGACCAGGGAAAUCCGGUCCGCACGAGGGCGAGGCUCCGGACGAAGCACUUAAGCGAAGCGAGUGAGCCCGAGGUCCCUAGAAAAACCCCUAGGCAGGCGCGUGCGCGCCCGUACCGCAAACCGACACAGGUGGGUGGGUAGAACAUACCGAGGCGAUCGGGUCAACCAUGGUCAAGGAACUCGGCACAAUGGCCCCGUAACUUCGGGAGAAGGGGUGCCCGCGCGUACGUGAACGGACUUGCUCCGGGAGCGGAGGCGGGCCGCAGUGGAGAGGCCCAAGCGACUGUUUACCAAAAACACAGGACUCUGCAGAAGCCGCAAGGCGACGUAUAGGGUCUGACGCCUGCCCGGUGCCGGAAGGUCACGCGGAGGAGUUAGCCAUUUCGGCGAAGCCCCGAAGCCAAGCCCCGGUAAACGGCGGCCGUAACUAUAACGGUCCUAAGGUAGCGAAAUUCCUUGUCGGGUAAGUUCCGACCUGCACGAAAGGCGCAACGACUUGGGCGCUGUCUCGACCAUGGACCCGGUGAAAUUGCACUGGUCGUGAAGAUGCGACUUACCCGCGGAAGGACGGAAAGACCCCGUGAACCUUCACUGCAGCUUGGCAUUGGCCGCUGGUCCCGCGUGUAGAGGAUAGGCAGGAGGCUAAGAUCCGGAGGCGCCAGCCCCCGGGGAGCCGCCCUUGGAAUACUGCCCUCGCGCGACCGGCGUCCUAACCCGAGGCCGUCAACCGGCUCGGGGACCGUGCCAGGCGGGCAGUUUGACUGGGGCGGUCGCCUCCUAAAGGGUAACGGAGGCGCGCGAAGGUCCGCUCGGGACGGUCGGCAACCGUCCUUUUGAAUGCAAGAGUACAAGCGGGCUUGACUGCGAGGCCCACAAGCCGAGCAGGUGCGAAAGCAGGCUCUAGUGAUCCG
rnacentral:rRNA from 1 species